GGCGCACUGUCCAGCACGCCGGCAGACAGACCCAGAUCAGAAGGCCUGGACUUGGUACGUGAACGCCAGAAGGGCUGAGGUGCUGUUUCCUGAGGAGCUGUUCCAGGACUAGCGAGGAGCCUUUCCAAGCGUCACAGAAGGACGGGCCAGCGUUAACACGGCAUCGAG